rnacentral:rRNA from 1 species
AUGCCGGCCUGGCGCCGCCGGCUCAUGUGGGUCACCCGGCUCUCUGCGCGCUGCAUCCUCUUCUCCUUCGGGUAUCACUGGAUCACACGAAAAGGAAGGCCUGCGCCUAGAGAGCUUGCACCUAUAGUUGUUUCCAAUCAUGUAUCAUACAUAGAUCCCAUAUACUUCUUCUAUGAAUUGUUCCCAACCAUUGUUUCAUCGGAUUCCCAUGAUGCCAUACCAUUUGUUGGAACAAUCAUAAGAGCAAUGCAGGUUAUAUACGUUGAUAGAUUCUCGCCGGCUUCAAGGAAGUCAGCUGUGAAUGAAAUAAAGAGAAAGGCAGGUGGCAAUAGCUUUCCGCGUGUCCUGUUGUUCCCUGAAGGCACUACAACCAAUGGGAGAUUUCUGAUUUCAUUCCAACAUGGAGCAUUCAUACCUGGCUACCCUGUUCAACCGGUUGUUGUUCGUUACCCCCAUGUGCACUUUGACCAGUCCUGGGGAAACAUAUCACUAAUAGCACUCAUGUUCAAGAUGUUCACCCAGUUUCACAACUUCAUGGAGGUAGAGUACCUCCCUAUUGUCUACCCCCCUGAGAUCAAGCAGGAGAAUGCCCUUCAUUUUGCAGAGAAUACCAGCUAUGCUAUGGCACACGCCCUUAAUGUUUUACCGACUUCUUAUUCAUAUGCUGAUUCAAUGAUUGCGUCAAGAGCAGAAGAAGCUGGAAAGGCCAACUGCUCAAGUUAUAUGGUGGAAAUGGCUUGGGUAAAAGAAGUGUAUGGUGUAAGCACCGCAGAAGCAAUGGAACUCUUGGAGCACUUUUUGGCUAUGAAUCCAGACAGCGAUGGACGUGUUAAAGCACAAGAUUUUUGGGCUCCUUUUGGCCUAGAUUGCAGUCCUCUAUGCAAGAAGAUAUUUCACUACUUCGAUUUUGAAAAUAAGGAAUCCAUCACAUUCCGACAGUUCCUGGUCGGGUGUGCGCACCUAAGGAAGCAGCCGUUGUUUGAGGGAGUGUGCGAAACCGCCUUCGAGAAAUGCAAGGCCCCUGGGACCUCUGACAUAUCCCUUGCACAGCUAGCCGACGCCCUGCGAUCGGGCAUGCUUCCUCCAGCAGACGACAGGAUGCUGAAGCUGUUUGAGACGUUUGACAUUGACGACGACGACAAAAUCAGCAAGGAUGACUUCGUGGCAUGCCUUGCGAGGUUCCCUUUCAUGAUCGCCCUCUUCGCCGGCCGGAUCAACGGGGAAGUUUACAUCGAGAUAGUUUGA